CCUACGGGUGGCAGCAGUGAGGAAUAUUGGUCAAUGGACGAGAGUCUGAACCAGCCAAGUAGCGUGAGGGAUGAAUGCCCUCUGGGUUGUAAACUUCUUUUGUAUGGGAAUAAAACAGAGUAUGCAUACACUAUUGUCUGUACCUUAUGACUAAGCAUCGGCUAACUCCGUGCCAGCAGCCGCGGUAAUACGGAGGAUCCGAGCGUUAUCCGGAUUUAUUGGGUGUAAAGGGAGCGUAGGCGGAUUGGUAAGUCAGUUGUGAAAGUUUGCGGCUCAACCGGAAAAUUGCAGUUGAAACUGGCAGUCUUGAGUACAGUAGAGGUGGGCGGAAUUCGUGGUGUAGCGGUGAAAUGCUUAGAUAUCACGAAGAACUCCGAUGGCGAAGGCAGCUUACUGGACUGCAACUGACACUGAUGCUCGAAAGUGUGGGUAUCAAACAGGAUUAGAUACCCGUGUAGUC
rnacentral:rRNA from 1 species